rnacentral:misc_RNA from 1 species
GAAUAAUUGAAAACUGUGAGAGGAUUCAAUGGCGUUGCAAGAACAACUAGAUAGGUUUAAGAAACAGCAAGAAAGAUGUCAGACUACUUUGUCUGGCAUUGCUGCAUCCAAGUCUGCGUCCAAGUCUACACCCAAGUUUACGCCUGCACCAGCUGUUUCCAUUGCAAGACCUCCGGCUCCUGCUGUAAAAUUUUCAAAUGAUACUGAGAGACUUCAACACAUUAACAGCAUAAGAAAAUCCCCUGUCGGGGCUCAAAUCAAGAGGGUUAUUGACCUGCUGCUGGAGACAAGGCAAGCCUUUACACCUGAGCAAAUCAAUGAAGCAUGUUAUGUUGAUAUAAAUUCCAACAAGGCUGUCUAUGAUAGUCUGCGGAAUAACCCAAAGGUGCA